rnacentral:rRNA from 1 species
UACAGAGGUCUCGAGCGUUGUUCGGAUUCAUUGGGCGUAAAGGGUGCGUAGGUGGCUAGGUAAGUCGGAUGUGAAAUCCCGGGGCUCAACCCCGGAACUGCAUUCGAUACUGCCUGGCUAGAGUACUGGAGAGGAGAUUGGAAUUUACGGUGUAGCAGUGAAAUGCGUAGAUAUCGUAAGGAGGACCAGUGGCGAAGGCGGAUCUCUGGACAGUUACUGACACUGAGGCACGAAGGCCAGGGGAGCAAACGGG